rnacentral:rRNA from 1 species
UACGUAGGGGGCAAGCGUUGUCCGGAUUUAUUGGGCGUAAAGAGCGUGUAGGCGGCUAGGUAGGUCCGUUGUGAAAACUCGAGGCUCAACCUCGAGACGCCGGUGGAAACCAUCUAGCUAGAGUCCGGAAGAGGAGAGUGGAAUUUCCGGUGUAGCGGUGAAAUGCGUAGAUAUCGGAAGGAACACCUGUGGCGAAGGCGGCUACCUGGACCGGUUCUGACGCUGAUGCGCGAAAGCGUGGGGAGCAAACAGG